AGGGUUUGAUUCUGGCUCAGGACGAACGCUGGCGGCGUGCUUAACACAUGCAAGUCGAACGGGGCUAUUUGAUUUCGAUUGGGUAGCCUAGUGGCGAACGGGUGAGUAACGCGUGAAUGACCUGACCUUGAGAGGGGGAUAACAACGAGAAAUCGUUGCUAAUACCGCAUAGGACCACACUGCCGCAUGGCAGAGAGGUGAAAGGAGAAAUCCGCUAAAGGAGGGGUUCGCGUCCCAUUAGGUAGUAGGCGGGGUAAAGGCCCACCUAGCCGACGAUGGGUAGCCGAGCUGAGAGGCUGAACGGCCACACUGGAACUGAGACACGGUCCAG
rnacentral:rRNA from 1 species